CAGUAGCCGCGGUAACACGAGGGGGGCAAGCGUUGUUCGGAAUUAUUGGGCGUAAAGCGCGUGUAGGCGGUCCUGCAGGUCGGAUGUGAAAGCCCUUGGCUCAACCAAGGAAGUGCAUUCGAAACCUCAGGACUUGAGUGUCGGAGAGGAAGGUGGAAUUCUCGGUGUAGAGAUGAAAUUCGUAGAUAUCGAGAGGAACACCGGCGGCGAAGGCGGCCUUCUGGACGAACACUGACGCUGAGACGCGAAAGCGUGGGGAGCAAACAGGAUUAGAUACCCCCGUAGUCCCUGUCUCUUAUAC
rnacentral:rRNA from 1 species